rnacentral:rRNA from 1 species
AGUAACGCGUGGAUAACCUGCCUCAUACAGGGGGAUAACAGUUAGAAAUGACUGCUAAUACCGCAUAAGCGCACAGGACCGCAUGGUCUGGUGUGAAAAACUCCGGUGGUAUGGGAUGGAUCCGCGUCUGAUUAGCUGGUUGGUGAGGUAACGGCCCACCAAGGCGACGAUCAGUAGCCGACCUGAGAGGGUGGCCGGCCACAUUGGGACUGAGACACGGCCCAAACUCCUACGGAAGGCAGCAG